GAUGAACGCUGGCGGCGUGCCUAAUACAUGCAAGUCGAGCGAACAGACGAGGAGCUUGCUCCUUCGACGUUAGCGGCGGACGGGUGAGUAACACGUAGGUAACCUACCUAUAAGACUGGGAUAACUUCGGGAAACCGGAGCUAAUACCGGAGAAUAUUUCGAACCGCAUGGUUCGAUAGUGAAAGAUGGCUUUGCUAUCACUUAUAGAUGGACCUGCGCCGUAUUAGCUAGUUGGUAAGGUAACGGCUUACCAAGGCAACGAUACGUAGCCGAGCUGAGAGGGUGAUCGGCCACACUGGAACUGAGACACGGUCCAGAGUCCUACGGGAGGCAGCAGUAGGGAAUCUUCCGCAAUGGGCGAAAGCCUGACGGAGCAACGCCGCGUGAGUGAUGAAGGUCUUCGGAUCGUAAAACUCUGUUAUUAGGGAAGAACAAACGUGUAAGUAACUGUGCACGUCUUGACGGUACCUAAUCAGAAAGCCACGGCUAACUACGUG
rnacentral:rRNA from 1 species